ACGGAGGGCGCAAGCGUUGUUCGGAAUUACUGGGCGUAAAGCGCGGGCAGGCGGUCUGUUAAGUCGUUUGUGAAAAUCCGGGGCUCAACCCCGGAAAUGCAUACGAUACUGGCAGGCUGGAGACUGGUAGAGGCUAGCGGAAUUCCUGGUGUAGCGGUGGAAUGCGUAGAUAUCAGGAAGAACACCUGUGGCGAAGGCGGCUAGCUGGGCCAGUUCUGACGCUGAUCCGCGAAAGCGUGGGGAGCAAACAGGAUUAGAUACCCUGGUAGUCCACGCCGUAAACGAUGGGCACUAGGUGCCGGGUCUCUAGACGGAUUCGGUGCCGCAGUUAACACAUUAAGUGCCCCGCCUGGGGAGUACGGUCGCAAGGCUG
rnacentral:rRNA from 1 species